rnacentral:lncRNA from 1 species
GGAAGAGAAAGCCGCAGCUGCUUGCAGUCUGCAGCCCGUCCGUGUCAGAUGUUUGACCAGGUUCCGCUCUUACUCUCCACGGAAGAGGACGCAGCUUCCUUGGGAUUUUAGAGGCAGAUCUCUACUGCUGCAGCUGCGGGUGCAAUGGUGCGACUGAGAGGCUGGAGGGUGCGACGCUCACGAUCUCCCAGGUGGCGGCUGUCGCUACGGCGGCAGCGGUUCGGGUGGAGCUAUCGGAGUUGGCGAGGGACGGGGUGUGCACCAGCAGCUUCUGCGGUGAACUCUGGCCGGGAAGUGGUCGCGAGGCUGCGUCGAGGCAAAGAGGGUUCUUGGC